CAGCAGCCGCGGUAAUACGAAGGGUGCAAGCGUUAAUCGGAAUUACUGGGCGUAAAGCGUGCGUAGGCGGUGAGUUAAGUCUGCUGUGAAAUCCCCGGGCUCAACCUGGGAAUGGCAGUGGAUACUGGCUCGCUAGAGUGUGUCAGAGGAUGGUGGAAUUCCCGGUGUAGCGGUGAAAUGCGUAGAGAUCGGGAGGAACAUCAGUGGCGAAGGCGGCCAUCUGGGACAACACUGACGCUGAGGCACGAGAGCGUGGGGAGCAAACAGGAUUAGAUACCCGCGUAGUCCCUGUCUCUUAUAC
rnacentral:rRNA from 1 species